AAGGACUUCUUCCAUUCCAGAAUAGAUAUACGGACAUUCUGUCUACACUGUAUCAGAUACUGAGAAAAACACAUAAACAGACACUGAGAAAGAAAACAUCAAACAAAAAAAGAGAAAAUCAAGAGUGAACAUCAAUAUAAAAUCAAACAAAAGAGAGUGAAGUCGAAUCUAGAUCACGUUCAAGUUUCCGAAAAUGAUAUUCAAAGUUUUUGCUUCAGAUCGUCAACAGGUUUUAUUCUACUUUGUAUUAUUCACUUUAUGAAUUUUUAUAGUGAAUUUAAAUCAUGUUCAAAUUUAUGUGAAUGAUUAUAUUUGAUUACGCGAAUCUUUAUCGUCAUAUAUUAUACUGUAAAUUUAUUGAAUAUUUAUAUAUUUGUUCAGUAAAUAUAUUAAAAAUUUAAAGAUUGUGUGUUACAUGUAGUCUGGUUUAAAAUUUAAAAAAUAAACAAAAUAGAAGGAAAAAUAGGCACGGUUACAAUCCCAUAUACUGUUACCAUUCAUAUGUACACAGAUAUUCACACAUUUCACUGCACACAUAUAGACAUCACAGUAUUUGCUUCAGAUACAGCAACUUACACAACACAAUCACCACUACACGUACGCAUACUCACAGACACUUCAAAUAGCGAUUUCUCUUUUGCACAGAUUUCACACAGUGAAAUAAAAAUGAACAGGAGAGGGGAAAAAUCAGUGAAACAAGAGAGAGAGAAAAAAAUAGAAGUUUGACGAAGAAAAGAAAAAUUGUCAGUUGUUCUUAGAUGAGAAAAAGGAAAAUCGUCAAUCUGUCUUUGAAUUUUUCGGCGAGUUUCUCACCGAAAAUCCGUCAGAAAAUUCACCAUCACCUAAAUUCACUCCAUUUUGGUCAAAAUUCCACCCUUGUGUUCGGUUUUUGGAGAAUCAACUCACCGAAAAAACACCCACCCGUUGCCGCCGGCAAAAAUACCGACCAAAUCAUCCUUUUCGCAGAAAAAUAGUGAAAACCCGCCGGUUUCCACCCCCACAAACCAAAAAUCCACUCCCCGCUGGAAUUGGUAGCCGGCAGGCGCGCCUCCACCAGCCGCCACCGCUGCUGCCUUUCUUCACCGCCCCGUUCUCUCUCUUUUCCAUCACCAAAUAAUUCUGGCAAACCUUCCCCCAAAUCGGCAAAACCCACCGGGAAACAUGGCUGCCGUUCCAUCGAUCCACCGGAGAAAAUUAACCAACAACUCCUUAUAUAUAAUCCAAACCAUAACCCCUCAAAUCCAAACUCAUAAUAUGUUUUUUUCCAUAUUCUUCCUACAGAUCUAACAAGAAGAAAAUAUAUUGGGGUGAUAGGAUAUGCACGUUAUGUGUCUGCCUAAUAGCAGUUGUGGUGUCCAUUUUUUUAUUAUUAUUUGGAUUUGGAGAAUACAUGAAUUGAAAUUUUUGUAUUUGAUUUAUCUUAAAAUAUAUAACUUGAGUUUUGUAUCAAUCUAGAGACUAGACUAUUAAUUUAGCAUAAUAUAUAGGUAGCUUUAUAUAUUUUUAUUUAUUUUAUUAUUUCAUUAUUUUUAUUUUUUUUGUAAUUAAUAAGGUUUGAAAAUUAUUUGUUAAAUUAAUUAAUUACUUUAAAUCAACUUUGCUUUAAUUUAUUGUCAAGAAUAAAUAGCAUUUCGAAUAGAUAAAAUUGUUACGAGUUUAUAAGAUAUAGAUCAAUACCUUCAACACUAGGCAAAUUUUAGGAACGAUUAAAAUUUUUGUUUCAAUAAAGAAUGCGGUGUACGCAUCUUUUCGAGACAUUUUAAAAUUCAAGGAUGCAAUAAUGCACCUUGGCAAAUAUUUUUUUAAAAUUAACUUUCAUUAAUUUAUUUAAUAUAAGAUAAUAGAUAAGUUUUAGUAUAAUAAAAAAUGAGCAAAUUUAGGCCUUAAAUAAUUUAUCAAAAAUAGUUUAAGUUAAGUAUAAGUUAAUAAAAGCAACCGUGCUAGAACCACGGAACUUGAGGGGUGCCUCACACCUUCUCCUCAGUCAAUAAAAUUUCUUACCCGAUCUGUUUUCGCAGAUCAUAAUAAAGAGUCAUUUCCUUUUGAUUAGGGAUUCAAAAAGGUGACCUGGAACACCAUAACUCAAUUCCAAGUGGUGACUCUAUAAAUGAUAAAAAUAAUCCCUAUGCAAAACCGUCAUUUUAAUGGGAAAAACCCUUUGACUCGACCUUCCGAGCGAAAAAGGGGUUUGACAUCCUUCAUUAAAAGACUCUCCUUUAGACAAAACUGUCUUUUCACUAUUUUCAUCAAUUUAUUAUUUAAUUAUUUUUAUUAUAUUAAUUAAACUCCUAAAAUAUAUGAGACUCCUAAAAUAUGAAAGAAAAAUCAAUUAAUAUUUUCAUUCGUACAGGUUACAUAUUUUAAAAAAGAAAAGAUUAUGUAUAGUUAAACAAAAACAGGGAAACACUUUUACUUUUUUGAAAAAUAUUUUUUCCUCUUUUGCCACUAUGUCCAUAAGUGUAAUUUUCGAUUGAAUUCCUUGAAGAAACUUGAGACGUUAUCAUAUUUUUGGCUAGAAACUAUUAUGUUUCGAGAAGAAUUAGGAUUAAGUAAUUACAAAUAGAAGUCUUUUAUAUAUUUACAAGUCUUUAUAUUUAUUUUUUGCAUAUAUUUAUCAUAGUCCAUAUAUAUUUUAAUUAAAAGAAAUAAGUGAAAAUAUGAUAUUGUUUAUAAUGGAGAGUUAUAAUGAAGGGCAAAAAAAUCAAAUAACUUUUCUAAUUGUUUUUUCACUAUUUUCUUCAAUUUAUUAUUUAAUUAUUUUUUAUUAUAUUAACUAGACUCCUAAAAUAUAUGGGACUCCUAAAAUAUGGAAGGAGAAUUAAUUAAUAUUUUCCUUUUUGUACUGGUCAAUUAUAAAAAUACUCCUAAAAUAGGACUCUAUUAAGGAAAUACUUUUUAUAAAUAUCGAGAUGCACGUUAUACUAGAAAAGAAACCAAUUUUCCUAUUGGGAGAAUAUGAUUGAUGCUCAUCUAACUUGAUUCGGUUACAUGUCUAGAGUGAUGGAUGCUUGAUUUUCUUAUCCUCAACUUCUUCACUGUUUUCGUCAAUAUAAUAAAUUCAACGUGUGAAUUUGUAUAUAUAUAUAUAUAUCCUUGUUUAAAUUCAAGUCAAAAUUUUCGCUUGCAAGAAUUAUUUCCAUCAAAAUCAAAGCUUUGUGAUCACAAUUGUAUUGUUUUCUUAUAGUUUAUAGAUUGUAGAUGAAUGACGGUUCGCUUUGAAGAAUUUUUUGUGUAAAGGUUAGGUUUAAUUGUAUAGUUUUGAGAUCUUUAUUAUCUUAUUUUUUAUUUUAAUUUACGUAUGGUAGAUGAAUGUCGGUCGGCGUUGUGAAUUUUUUGGUAAUUGUAUUGUCUCAAUAUCUCUAAUAGUUUAUUAUUUUGUGGUAUUUUAGAGGUCGUAGAUGAAUGUGGAUCGACUUUGAAAAUUUUUUUUUAUAGAAAAUUUAGUGUAAUUGUAUUAUUUUGAUAUCUCUUUUAUCGUGUUAUUUUGUUGUAGUUUACAGGUGCUACAUAAAUGUCUGUCGUCUUUUGAGAAAUUUUUGUACGUAAAGGUUAGGUUAUUGUAUUGUUUUAAUAUCUCAGCUUUGAGAAUUUUUUUUGUGUAAAGGUUAAGUUUAGUUGUAUUAUCUUGAUAUCUUUAUUAUCGUAUUAUUUUGUUAUAGUUUAUAAAACAUAGAUCAGUGUCAGACGACUUUACAAAAAAUUUUAUGUGAAGGUUAGAUUUGAUUAUGUUGUUUUGAUGUCUCUAUCAUCAUAUUAUUUUGUUGCAGUUUACAGGUGGUAGAUAAAUAUCGAUCGACUUUGAAAAAUAUUUUUAGUAAAAGUUAAGUUUAAUUUAAUAAAUUAUCCAUCUUGCAUAAUCAAAAGAUGUUAGAAUUUAAUUAUUGUAUUCAUAUUUAUCAUUUAAAUGAAGAUCUUAUUUAGUGUAACGCUUGAAUUCAUUAAAAUGAGAUAUACGCGCGAGGCGCGUACACCUAAACUAGUAAUUGUUAAAAGCUUAUAUUGUUUUAAUACUUUUUCCGAGUGUAGACGGAAAAAAAAGAAUUAUGUAAUAUAAUUUCUUUGUUGAUUGCAUGAUAUUAUAUUUUGUAUCUUUUAUUUUCAUGUAUGGUUAAUAACCAAAUAAUCGAACGAAACCAAACAAAUCGAUUACAACUAAAUCGAUAAAUAUCUAUUUUAUUUAAUUUGGUUGGGUUUUAAUUAUUUAAAAUCCGACUAGAUUUGGUUUGAUUUUGAUUUUGACUAAUAACCAAUCCAAACAAAACUGUGAACACCCCUAACUAGUACCCCUAACUGGCAGUUUACAGUUAUUCUUCUUAUAUCUUUUUACGAGCUCAAAUUAUCUAAAAACAUAGCUAAAUCAAAUUGAAUACCCCAAAAGGAGAUAAAAAGACACCUCCCAAUGGAUUGAAAUGCUUUAUUGGCCUUCUCACGAAGAGACUCGCUCAAUAGAUUGCAUUUGAUAAUCCACCCUUGGCAUAUGCUAAUAUGAAUUUUGUCUAGUCUUCUUUUUCUUUGUACCUUGGAGAUUCUUUGUUCACUGGCACGUAGGAAGAAGAAACUGCCCAUUUAAUGGUUAGUGUUAGCUUUUUAUAUUUACAUAAUAUGUUUUAACAAUGACAAAUUAAUUACCAAUAACAUGCAGGAUAUAUUCAAGAUAUAAUCAAGGAAAGGAAGAUCAUCUUGGAGCUAAAUUUGGAGAAACGUCUAGCGUAAUCCCUAGCUACAAAGAAGUUAAAGCUGGAUAUGGAAUAAGAAUCAAGAAAAGAUCUCAUUAGAUCCCAAAUUGAAAGAAAGACAAUCAGCAAAUCACAGAGCAACAUGGAAAGAAGAUCUCAUAAGAAAUCACGAAAGUAAGGAAGAUCACACCCUCUUCAUGGACAUAUCUGAUAUGGACAUGAAUGGUUGUAAGUCUAGCAGAUCAUAUCUUAUGUAUAGAUAUAUCUGAUGUUGACGUACCAUAUAAUGUGAAUCCGCAACCAAGAAAUUGUUAAUCUGGUCCAGUCUACUCCAUAGCUCAGUCCACUAUCAUUCAAGCCCAUCGCUCAGGCCCAACAUGAGUGACCCGACACAUUUAGUUCUUUUACUUACACUGUAUUUUUAGAUUGGAUGUAAAAUAAUACAUAUAACAUACAGAAGCUUCCAGUGAAAGACAGGCAGUUCAUUUGUUCAUCUUCACUCAGA
rnacentral:lncRNA from 1 species